AGAGUUUGAUCAUGGCUCAGGACGAACGCUGGCGGCGUGCUUAACACAUGCAAGUCGAGCGGAAAGGCCUCUUCGGGGGUGCUCGAGCGGCGAACGGAUGAGUAACACGUGAGCAACCUGCCCUUAGCUCUGGGAUAACCCUCGGAAACGGGGGCUAAUACCGGAUAUUCACUUCUGCCUGCAUGGGUGGGGGUGGAAAGUUUUGGCGGCUGGGGAUGGGCUCGCGGCCUAUCAGCUUGUUGGUGGGGUGAUGGCCUACCAAGGCGGCGACGGGUAGCCGGCCUGAGAGGGCGACCGGCCACACUGGGACUGAGACACGGCCCAGACUCCUACGGGAGGCAGCAGUGGGGAAUAUUGCACAAUGGGCGAAAGCCUGAUGCAGCGACGCCGCGUGAGGGGUGACGGCCUUCGGGUUGUAAACCUCUUUCGGCCCUGACGAAGCGGAAGUGACGGUAGGGGCAGAAGAAGCGCCGGCCAACUACGUGCCAGCAGCCGCGGUAAUUC
rnacentral:rRNA from 1 species